rnacentral:rRNA from 1 species
AAUAAAAAUAAUUUUAAUUUAAUAAUUUAAUGGGGGUUAAAGUAUUAAUUAAAGAAAAAAUUUUUAUUUUUAUAGUUAAUUAGUAAUGUUAAUGAAUUUUGAAAUAGUUGAAAUUUUAUUUUAUUGAAAGUAAUUUUUAUUUAAUGUAUCUUGUGUAUCAGAGUUUAUUAAAAAUUUUUAAUUUAUUUUAAUUUCUCGAAUUUUAAAGAGUUAAAUAAUUAUAAAAGUUAUUGUAGCAUAACUAUUUUAAAUAAUUAUUUUGAAAUGAAAUGUUAUUCGUUUUAAAAGAUAUCUAGUUUUUUCAGAAAAAAUUUUAAUUUUUAAUUUUAAUUUUUUUUUUAAAUUAAUUAAUUAAUUUAAAAAAAAAUUAAAAUUUUAUAUUUUAAGGGAUAAGCUUUAAAUUAAAUUUUUAUAAUAAUUAUUUUUUUUUUAUGAAAAUUUUAUAAUUUAUAUUGUUAAUAAAUUUUAUUUUAUUAUAAAUAAUUUCAUUUAUUGAAAAAAUUUAAAAUGUAGUUUAAUUUUUUAUGAAAAUAUAAUUUAAAAUUUUAUUAAAUUAAAAAUAAUGAUAAAAUUAGUAUAUUAAAAUAAAAUUAAUUUUAAAUUAAAAAUUAUAUAAUUUAGUUAAUUAAAAGGAAUUCGGCAAAAUUUAUUUUCACUUGUUUAUCAAAAACAUGUCUUUUUGGGAUUUAUUUAAAGUCUAAUCUGCCCACUGAUUUAUAUUAAAGGGCUGCAGUAUAUUGACUGUACAAAGGUAGCAUAAUCAUUAGUCUCUUAAUUGGUGACUUGUAUGAAAGAUUGGAUGAAAAAUAUACUGUCUCUUAAUUAUUUUAUAAAAUUUAAUUUUUUAUUUAAAAAGUUAAAAUAAAAUAAAAAGACGAGAAGACCCUAUAGAGUUUGAUAAAUAAAAUGUAUUUAUAAUAAAUUAUUUAUUUAAGUAAAAUUUUUAUAAUUUUAUUUAUUUUGUUGGGGUGAUAAAAAAAUAAAUUUAACUUUUUUUUACAAAUAUACAUAAAUAAGUGAUAUUUUGAUCCAGUAUUAUUGAUUAAAAGAUUAAAUUACCUUAGGGAUAACAGCGUAAUUUUUUUUUUUAGUUCAAAUAAAAAGAAAAGUUUGCGACCUCGAUGUUGGAUUAAGAUAAAAUUUAAAUGCAAAAGUUUAAAAUUUUUGAUCUGUUCGAUCAUUAAAAUCUUACAUGAUCUGAGUUCAAACCGGUGUGAGCCAGGUUGGUUUCUAUCUUUUAUAAAUAUAAAAUAUUUUAGUACGAAAGGAUCAAAUAUUUUAAUUAAAUUAAUUUUAUUUGAAUUUAAAUAAAU